CACGUAGGGGGCAAGCGUUGUCCGGAUUUAUUGGGCGUAAAGAGCUCGUAGGCGGUUUCGUAAGUCGGGUGUGAAAACUCGAGGCUCAACCUCGAGACGUCGAUGGAAACCAUCUGGCUAGAGUCCGGAAGAGGAGAGUGGAAUUCCUGGUGUAGCGGUGAAAUGCGCAGAUAUCAGGAAGAACACCCGUGGCGAAGGCGGCUCUCUGGUACGUGACUGACGCUGAGACGCGAAAGCGUGGGGAGCAAACAGG
rnacentral:rRNA from 1 species